rnacentral:rRNA from 1 species
UAAAAAGAGAAAACUUCGAGAUCUAAUCCAGAGUACCACGAGACACGUGAAACCUUGUGGGAAGCAGGGAGGACCACCUCCCAAGGCUAAAUACUACCUAGUGACCGAUAGUGAAGCAGUACCGUGAGGGAAAGGUGAAAAGAACCCCGGAAGGGGAGUGAAAUAGAACCUGAAACCGUGUGCCUACAACCGAUCGGAGCACGUUAAAGUGUGACGAUGUGCUUUUUGUAGAACGAGCCAGCGAGUUACGCUAUGUAGCAAGGUUAAGUACUUAAGGUAUGGAGCCGAAGGGAAACCGAGUCUGAAAAGGGCGAAAAGUUGCAUGGUGUAGACCCGAAACCGGGUGACCUAUCCAUGGCCAGGUUGAAGCGAGAGUAAAAUCUCGUGGAGGACCGAACCACGUUGGUGUUGAAAAACCAUGGGAUGAGCUGUGGAUAGCGGAGAAAUUCCAAUCGAACUCGGAGAUAGCUGGUUCUCCUCGAAAUAGCUUUAGGGCUAGCGUCGUGUAAUUGAGUAAUGGAGGUAGAGCACUGAAUGGGCUAGGGGCUAUAGUAGUUACCGAACCCUAUCAAACUCCGAAUGCCAUAUACUUGUAUCACGGCAGUCAGACUGCGAAUGAUAAGAUCCGUAGUCAAAAGGGAAACAGCCCAGACCAUCAGCUAAGGUCCCAAAGUGUAAGUUAAGUGGAAAAGGAUGUGGGAUUUCUAAGACAACUAGGAUGUUGGCUUAGAAGCAGCCACUCAUUUAAAGAGUGCGUAAUAGCUCACUAGUCAAGAGAUCCUGCGCCGAAGAUGUCCGGGGCUCAAACUUACCACCGAAGCUAUGGGUGUACACUACGUGUACGCGGUAGAGGAGCUUUCUGUAUGGGUUGAAGUCGUACCGUAAGGAGCGGUGGACUGUACAGAAGUGAGAAUGCUGGCAUAAGUAGCGAGAAAUAAGUGAGAAUCUUAUUGGCCGAAAACCUAAGGUUUCCUGAGGAAGGUUCGUCCGCUCAGGGUUAGUCGGGACCUAAGCCGAGGCCGAAAGGCGUAGGUGAUGGACAAUCGGUUGAUAUUCCGAUACC